rnacentral:rRNA from 1 species
GACGAACGCUGGCGGCGUGCUUAACACAUGCAAGUCGAACGGAAAGGCCCUGCUUUUGUGGGGUGCUCGAGUGGCGAACGGGUGGGUAACACGUGAGUAACCCGCCCUUGACUUUGGGAUAACUUCAGGAAACUGGGGCUAAUACCGGAUAGGAGCUCCUGCUGCAUGGUGGGGGUUGGAAAGUUUCGGCGGUUGGGGAUGGACUCGCGGCUUAUCAGCUUGUUGGUGGGGUAGUGGCUUACCAAGGCUUUGACGGGUAGCCGGCCUGAGAGGGGUACCGGCCACAUUGGGACUGAGGUACGGCCCAGACUCCUACGGGAGGCAGCAGUGGGGAAUAUUGCACAAUGGGCGGAAGCCUGAUGCAGCAACGCCGCGUGCGGGAUGACGGCCUUCGGGUUGUAAACCGCUUUCGCCUGUGACGAAGCGGGAGUGACGGUAAUGGGUAAAGAAGCACCGGCUAACUACGUG